AUGAAGAGUUUGAUCCUGGCUCAGGAUGAACGCUAGCGGCAGGCCUAACACAUGCAAGUCGAGGGGUAACAGGGAGAAGCUUGCUUCUUUGCUGACGACCGGCGCACGGGUGCGGAACGCGUAUGGAACCUGCCCCUGUCAGGGGAAUAGCCCAGGGAAACUUGGAUUAAUGCCCCAUGGUAUCGUUUUAUCGCAUGAUAUUACGAUUAAAGAUUUAUCGGACAGGGAUGGCCAUGCGUACCAUUAGUUAGUUGGUGAGGUAACGGCUUACCAAGGCAGCGAUGGUUAGGGGCCCUGAGAGGGGGAUCCCCCACACUGGUACUGAGACACGGACCAGACUCCUACGGGAGGCAGCAGUGAGGAAUAUUGGACAAUGGGCGGGAGACUGAUCCAGCCAUGCCGCGUGCAGGAUGACUGCCCUAUGGGUUGUAAACUGCUUUUAUACGGGAAGAAACGCACCUACGUGUAGGUGUCUGACGGUACCGUAAGAAUAAGGACCGGCUAACUCCGUGCCAGCAGCCGCGGUAAUAC
rnacentral:rRNA from 13 species